rnacentral:rRNA from 1 species
GACGAACGCUGGCGGCGUGCUUAACACAUGCAAGUCGAACGAUGAAGCUGGAGCUUGCUCCGGUGGAUUAGUGGCGAACGUGUGAGUAACACGUGAGUAAUCUGCCCUUGACUCUGGGAUAACUGCGGGAAACUGUAGCUAAUACCGGAUACGACACCUUCGGGCAUCCGAUGGGUGUGGAAAGAAUUUCGGUCAAGGAUGAACUCGCGGCCUAUCAGCUAGUUGGUGAGGUAAUGGCUCACCAAGGCGACGACGGGUAGCCGGCCUGAGAGGGUGACCGGCCACACUGGGACUGAGACACGGCCCAGACUCCUACGGGAGGCAGCAGUGGGGAAUAUUGCACAAUGGGCGAAAGCCUGAUGCAGCAACGCCGCGUGAGGGAUGAAGGCCUUCGGGUUGUAAACCUCUUUUAGUUGGGAAGAAGCGAAAGUGACGGUACCAACAGAAAAAGCACCGGCUAACUACGUGCCAGCAGCCGCCGCCG